rnacentral:rRNA from 1 species
UGGGGAAUAUUGCACAAUGGGGGAAACCCUGAUGCAGCGACGCCGCGUGAGCGAAGAAGGCUUUCGAGUCGUAAAGCUCUGUCAUAUGAGAAGAUAAUGACGGUAUCAUAGGAGGAAGCCCUGGCUAAAUACGUGCCAGCAGCCGCGGUAAUACGUAUGGGGCGAGCGUUGUCCGGAAUUAUUGGGCGUAAAGGGUACGUAGGCGGUUUUUUAAGUCAGGUGUCAAAGCGUGGAGCUUAACUCCAUUAAGCACUUGAAACUGAAAGACUUGAGUGAAGGAGAGGAAAGUGGAAUUCCUAGUGUAGCGGUGAAAUGCGUAGAUAUUAGGAGGAAUACCGGUGGCGAAGGCGACUUUCUGGACUUUUACUGACGCUCAGGUACGAAAGCGUGGGGAGCAAACAGG